GUUCACAUCUUACCGGGCAGCAUUAGAUCCUUUUUAAAACUCUAAUACUGUCAGGUAAAGAUGUCGUC
rfam:Drosophila sechellia strain Rob3c scaffold_1 genomic scaffold, whole genome shotgun sequence.